rnacentral:rRNA from 1 species
UACAGAGGGUGCAAGCGUUGUUCGGAAUUACUGGGCGUAAAGCGCGUGUAGGCUGCGAUGUAAGUCAGGUGUGAAAGCCCUCAGCUUAACUGAGGAAGUGCACUUGAUACUGUGUCGCUUGAGUGUCGGAGGGGGUGGCGGAAUUCCCGGUGUAGAGGUGAAAUUCGUAGAUAUCGGGAGGAACACCUGUGGCGAAGGCGGCCACCUGGACGACAACUGACGCUGAGACGCGAAAGCGUGGGGAGCGAACAGG